rnacentral:snRNA from 1 species
AUGGCUAGGUGCUUCAUUGCAAGAUACUUACCUGGACGGGGUCAACGGGUGAUCAAGAAGGCUCGUGGCCUAGAUCAAUGGCUCACAUUGCACUUGGUGAGUGUGUUGGUCUACCAUCUCCCCAAGUGGGAGAGUGGACGUCGUAAUUUGUGGUAG